GACGUAGGGCGCGAGCGUUGUCCGGAAUUAUUGGGCGUAAAGAGCUCGUAGGCGGUCUGUCGCGUCUGCUGUGAAAACCUAGGGCUUAACUCUGGGCGUGCAGUGGGUACGGGCAGGCUAGAGUGCGGUAGGGGAGACUGGAAUUCCUGGUGUAGCGGUGAAAUGCGCAGAUAUCAGGAGGAACACCGGUGGCGAAGGCGGGUCUCUGGGCCGUAACUGACGCUGAGGAGCGAAAGCAUGGGGAGCGAACAGG
rnacentral:rRNA from 1 species